AUUGAACGCUGGCGGCAGGCCUAACACAUGCAAGUCGAACGAGUGGCGGACGGGUGAGUAAAGUCUGGGAAACUGCCCGAUGGGGGGGGAUAACUACUGGAAACGGUAGCUAAUACCGCAUACCAUCGGAUGUGCCCAGAUGGGAUAAGCUAGUAGGUGGGGUAACGGCUCACCUAGGCGACGAUACCUAGCUGGUCUGAGAGGAUGACCAGCCACACUGUAACUGCGACACGGUCCAGACGCCUACGGGAGGCAGCAGUGUGGAAUAUUGCACAAUGGGCGCAAGCCUGAUGCAGCCAUGCCGCGUGUAUGAAGAAGGCCUUCGGGUUGUAAAGUACUUUCAGCGAGGAGGCGUUACUCGCAGAAGAAGCACCGGCUAACUCCGUGCCAGCAGCCGCGGUAAUAC
rnacentral:rRNA from 1 species